CCUCACCACGCGGCUCUGAGCGGGACGGAGCUCAGGCCUCGCCGGAGACGCGCUCGGGUCUCUGUGACGCUUUGAAAAACUUCUCACAGAUGAAAGACUGACUUUCCGUUAGUGUUCCACAGGAGGUAACUGGCAGAAAAGAAAUGGAAGACUAGAAGAGAUGAUUGCUCAGGCCUUGAACGGCACUGACAGAUCUCACAGUUGUGGACAUCAGUCUGGAAACCGAAGGAACAGUCCAAGGAACACCCUGAUAUGAGGCCAGUACACAGCUCCUCUCCUGUGAAGAACACAUGCAGCUUAGCACAAAAUGAAAACUGUUGUUCAGAUCAGAAAAAAUGUAUCUAUACACAGACUAAACCUUUUCCACCUUUUUACUGGUUUAACUGUUAAGACUACCAAUAUUUUUACCUCCCUUCCCUAAUAUUCCUCUACAAUUCUACAGUAAUGGCCCCAAACACUGCAGUUUGCAACAGAGUUACUACCGUGUUUCGGACCUGUAUUGUAGACUACCAUAGUGAGUGAGUGUUUUAAAAAUAAUUAUUGGUUCCAAGCAAAAGCUUGGGAGUAGGCACCUUAUAUCUAGGGAGGUGCUAGGGAGACGUAAACAUUCCAACGGAGUCCAACAUUUAUGAGUCAUGCGGCCACAUUAAAUUCAUGUCAACAAAACUUCAGUAAUACCACACACUGUCUAUGUUUUAUUUUUGUUUAAUAGAUUCAUGUGCAGUAUAAUGUAUUUUA